rnacentral:rRNA from 1 species
GACGAACGCUGGCGGCGUGCUUAACACAUGCAAGUCGAACGAAGUGGCGAACGGGUGAGUAACGCGUAAUCAACCUGCCCUUCAGAGGGGGACAACAGUUGGAAACGACUGCUAAUACCGCAUACUGAAGGAGGGGAUUGCGUGUGAUUAGCUAGUGGGGGGGGUAACGGCCCACCAAGGCGAGGAUCAGUAGCUGGUCUGGGAGGAGGAACGGCCACAUUGGGACUGAGACACGGCCCAGACUCCUAGGGGAGGCAGCAGUGGGGAAUAUUCCGCAAUGGACGAAAGCCUGACGGAGCAACGCCGCGUGAGUGAUGACGGCCUUCGGGUUGUAAAGUUCUUUUAGUCGGGAGAGGGAACCGGAAAAGAAAGAACGGCUAACUACGUGCCAGCAGCCGCGGUAAUAC